UUGGAUUUUGGGCCGAUUGGGCCAAAGCCGGCGGGUCAAACCGGCUUCAGCCCAUGAAGAAAAGACUGAGACAGAGGAUCGUAAUAGUCUUCUUCCUCAGAGUAACGGAGGCGAGAUAGGAGCGGGGACAUCGUGGCCUCUUGAAUGGCCUCUGAUUCUGCCCGACCACCGCGAGCAUCACGGAGGUGAACGAGCCACAACCAUUUUCUUUCUUCCCCGGAGAGGGCUAUAAAAGCCCCCGAUAGCUCACCCGAUCCGAGACCCCCCUCCUCCCUAUUUUCUCCUUGCUCUCGGACCAGGAUGUUGCCAGAUCUGGGCACUCCGGUGGCCUGAAGUUCGCCACCGUCCUCGCUCAUGUUGGGUUCCACCUCCGGUAUCCUCCACCGGCGCCUCUCCUCGUCGGACUUCACCACCCGCGCCCCUGCUCUCAUUAGUGAGGUACAGAGAAUUUGACGGACGAGAUUAGGAUUGUGUGGGCGAAUUGAGAUAAUUAAGGCGAUUAAGAGCGGGAAAGAGUAAAUGAAAAUUGGAGUUGAAGCAUAGUUACAGGGAUUCUUAAAAGUAUCUAUGUUAAUAAGUUUGGGUUGUAAUAUUGCAAACUCAAGUAUUUGAUUUAGAUGCUCUGUACUUGCUUCUUUAUGAUUAGUAAAUAAAUUUGAUCAGAUUUGGUCUUAUUUCAUGAAAUAAAAUUGUUAUCAUGGGCUUCGUGCUAUUAUGGGCAGCAACCUACAAUAGCACGGCCGUGUCAUAAA